ACGAACGCUGGCGGCGUGCUUAACACAUGCAAGUCGAACGGUGAAGCGCCUUCCUUUUUGGUGGGUGUGGAUGAGUGGCGAACGGGUGAGUAACACGUGAGUAACCUGCCCCCUUCUUCUGGAUAACCGCAUGAAAGUGUGGCUAAUACGGGAUAUUCUGGGUCUGUCGCAUGAUGGGUCUGGGAAAGAUAUUGUUUCGGUGGGGGAUGGGCUCGCGGCCUAUCAGCUUGUUGGUGGGGUGAUGGCCUACCAAGGCGGUGACGGGUAGCCGGCCUGAGAGGGUGGACGGUCACACUGGGACUGAGACACGGCCCAGACUCCUACGGGAGGCAGCAGUGGGGAAUAUUGCACAAUGGGCGCAAGCCUGAUGCAGCGACGCCGCGUGAGGGAUGGAGGCCUUCGGGUUGUGAACCUCUUUCGCCAGUGAAGCAGGCCUGCCUCGUUUGUGAGUGGGUUGACGGUAGCUGGAUAAGAAGCGCCGGCUAACUACGUG
rnacentral:rRNA from 1 species